AGUAUAGCCAAUAUACCGGUUCUCGUUAGAUCACGGAAGUCAAGCAUCACUGGGCGCAGCACUUGGGUGGGUGACCACCUGGGAACACCGCGUGC
rnacentral:rRNA from 1 species